rnacentral:rRNA from 1 species
GACGAACGCUGGCGGCGUGCUUAACACAUGCAAGUCGUACGGUAAGGCCCUUUCGGGGGUACACGCGUGGCGAACGGGUGAGUAACACGUGAGUAACCUUCCCACAACUUUGGGAUAACGCUAGGAAACUGGUGCUAAUACUGGAUAUGUGCUCCUGCUGCAUGGUGGGGGUUGGAAAGCUCCGGCGGUUGUGGAUGGACUCGCGGCCUAUCAGCUUGUUGGUGGGGUAGUGGCCUACCAAGGCGGCGACGGGUAGCCGGCCUGAGAGGGUGACCGGCCACAUUGGGACUGAGAUACGGCCCAGACUCCUACGGGAGGCAGCAGGGGGGAAUAUUGCACAAUGGGCGCAAGCCUGAUGCAGCAACGCCGCGGGCGGGAUGACGGCCUUCGGGUUGAAAACCGCUUUCAGCAGGGACGAAGCUUUUUGUGACGGUACCUGCAGAAGAAGCACCGGCUAACUACGUG